rnacentral:rRNA from 1 species
ACGGGAGGCAGCAGUGGGGAAUAUUGGACAAUGGGGGAAACCCUGAUCCAGCGACGCCGCGUGAGUGAAGAAGUAUUUCGGUAUGUAAAGCUCUAUCAGCAAGGAAGAAAAUGACGGUACUUGACUAAGAAGCUCCGGCUAAAUACGUGCCAGCAGCCGCGGUAAUACGUAUGGAGCAAGCGUUAUCCGGAUUUACUGGGUGUAAAGGGAGCGUAGACGGGACAGCAAGUCUGAUGUGAAAUGCGGGGGCUCAACCCCUGAACUGCAUUGGAAACUGUUGACCUUGAGUGCCGGAGAGGUAAGCGGAAUUCCUAGUGUAGCGGUGAAAUGCGUAGAUAUUAGGAGGAACACCAGUGGCGAAGGCGGCUUACUGGACGGUAACUGACGUUGAGGCUCGAAAGCGUGGGGAGCAAACAGGAUUAGAUACCCUGGUA